rnacentral:lncRNA from 1 species
UUUUCCGAGGCAGCAUGGGGUCCAGAUGCUGGCUUUGGGCUACUCUGUACGUCUGAACUGAUGGACCCAUUCAGAAUGGCUGUGCUGAGACAGAUACUCAGUGCUGUCCUGCAUUUUGCAGCUAUUUAACGUGCUGGAAAAGCAAUUAGAAAAAUCUCUCUAUAUGUGGGUAACUGCAAUAUGUAUAGCUAUUUUACUGUACUGCACCUGAGCGAAGAAUUUACCCCAGUAGAAAACAGACAGACAUGAAGCAAAGAGUGCUGCUUUACAACUUCCAAUUUAGAAAAAAAAAGGUAGUUUAAAAUACUUGUUUAUUCAUUGCAUACAUAGAGCUACAUAUUUUUUCCAUAAAUUUAUCUUUUUCACAUUUCAUUAUUCUCAGAAACAUAAAUAUAAGGAAGCAAAGGAAGAUUAAAAGCGGAAGCAUCCAGAACUGCUGCUGAAACACAUCUCGCGGUGCAGCGAACGACACAACAACCCUUUUAAGACUGUUCUGAGGAAAAAAUGUUAACUUUGCAGAGAUUGUAUGCAAAAGGAAAAAGCUGACUGUAAACAUUAGAGAGAAAGAGCAAAUAAAUUCCUGGUUUAAGACAAAGACUCCUGACCUCUCUCUGAGCAGAGGAGCUGAUGGCAAUAACCAGUAACUGAUAAACAGCUCAGCUUAUGAAAGUAUCUGCAUGUUUUGUUUCUGACUCUGUGCUCUGUAGCUCGUGUAGGACAGGUUGGAGCUGUAGCAGGUAUUACAACCGGGUGCAGCGUGGCAGCGGGAUGGGAAGCACCGGAGAAUCAGUCGCUCUGCACAAACCCGUGCCAGCCAGCAGAGCACCUCGCCCCACUCCCUCGCCCGGGGCUUGCUCACAAAAGCACCCACAGCGGCAGGAGAGACCUCCAGGCUCCUCCAGAAGGAACACGGGCUGAGAUGGAAACGUUACUGGCUUUUAUCACUAGUGGAAACGAGGCACAUUUCAUUAAGUUCAGCAGUAUUUUUGCGCUGUGCAUAGCACUCGUGUGCUGAUUUUUUAAACACACGUGGAAUUAUGGUAAUGCAGUUGUUAUUGGCACUGAAGACAAAAUCAGGUU